ACUUAUUGUUGAGGAAGCCUCUUGCUGUUUGAAGGAGAGGCUGCUCUGGUAUUUCACAGCACACUGAGCUGCUCACAGAGGUUUGGUGGAUGAAGUUUGUCUUGCUGUGUUCUUGGGCCAAUAGAAAGGCAGCUGCUGGCAGUCAAGUUAUGUGAAAGAAAUAAAGAAGUGUGUCUAUGUAAAAGGAGGCACAGAGGGACAUCUGUCCAGGAAGUGAAGACCAGAGUCAGGGGACCUUCAGAACCCGUCUUUCCUUCACAUGAAUUCAGGG
rnacentral:lncRNA from 1 species